UACGGAGGGUGCAAGCGUUAAUCGGAAUUACUGGGCGUAAAGGGUGCGUAGGUGGUUCGUUAAGUCCGUUGUGAAAGCCCCGAGCUCAACUUGGGAAUUGCAGUGGAUAGUGGCGAGCUGGAGUGCGGUAGAGGAAGGUGGAAUUCCCGGUGUAGCGGUGAAAUGCGUAGAGAUCGGGAGGAACACCAGUGGCGAAGGCGGCCUUCUGGACCAGCACUGACACUCAAGCACGAAAGCGUGGGGAGCAAACAGG
rnacentral:rRNA from 1 species